rnacentral:rRNA from 1 species
UCGAGCGGGAGAGGGGGGGCAACCCCGCUCUCUAGCGGCGAACGGUCGAGACACACGUAAGCAACCUGCCCGGAAGCGGGGGAUAAGCCGGAGAAAUCCGGGGUAAUACCGCAUACCUUCGAGGGGCGAGCGCCUCUCGAAGAAAGGAGUCUCCGCGAGGAGGCUUCACUUUCGGAGGGGCUUGCGGCCUAUCAGCUAGUUGGGGGGGUGACGGCCUCCCAAGGCGACGACGGGUAGCUGGUCUGAGAGGACGGCCAGCCGGACUGGGACUGAGACACGGCCCAGACUCCUACGGGGGGCAGCAAUCAGGAAUCUUGCACAAUGAGCGAAAGCUAGAUGCAGCGAUGCCGCGUGGGUGAGGAAGUCCUUCGGGAUGUAAAGCCCUUUUGGAGGGGACGAUAAUGACGGUACCCUCCGAAGAAGCCCCGGCUAACUACGUGCCAGCAGCCGCGGUAAUACGUAGGGGGCGAGCGUUGUCCGGAAUUACUGGGCGUAAAGGGCGCGUAGGCGGCCCGUCAAGUCCGCUGUGAAAGCCCGAGGCUCAACCUCGGAGGGUCAGCGGAGACGGGCGGGCUGGGGUGUCGGAGAGGAGCAUGGAAUCCCUGGUGUAGCGGUGGAAUGCGUAGAGAUCAGGGGGAACACCGAUGGCGAAGGCAGUGCUCUGGCCGACCACCGACGCUGAGGCGCGAAAGCUGGGGGAGCGAACGGGAUUAGAUACCCCGGUA